rnacentral:rRNA from 1 species
UACGGAGGGAGCUAGCGUUGUUCGGAAUUACUGGGCGUAAAGCGCGCGUAGGCGGCUUUGUAAGUUAGAGGUGAAAGCCCGGAGCUCAACUCCGGAACUGCCUUUAAAACUGCAUCGCUUGAAUCCAGGAGAGGUGAGUGGAAUUCCGAGUGUAGAGGUGAAAUUCGUAGAUAUUCGGAAGAACCCCAGGUGCGAAGGCGGCUCACUGGACUGGUAUUGACGCUGAGGUGCGAAAGCGUGGGGAGCAAACAGG